rnacentral:rRNA from 1 species
GACGAACGCUGGCGGCGUGCCUAAUACAUGCAAGUCGAACGCUUCUUUCCUCCCGAGUGCUUGCACUCAAUUGGAAAGAGGAGUGGCGGACGGGUGAGUAACACGUGGGUAACCUACCCAUCAGAGGGGGAUAACACUUGGAAACAGGUGCUAAUACCGCAUAACAGUUUAUGCCGCAUGGCAUAAGAGUGAAAGGCGCUUUCGGGUGUCGUUGAUGGAUGGACCCGCGGUGCAUUAGCUAGUUGGUGAGGUAACGGCUCACCAAGGCCACGAUGCAUAGCCGACCUGAGAGGGUGAUCGGCCACACUGGGACUGAGCCACGGCCCAGACUCCUACGGGAGGCAGCAGUAGGGAAUCUUCGGCAAUGGACGAAAGUCUGACCGAGCAACGCCGCGUGAGUGAAGAAGGUUUUCGGAUCGUAAAACUCUGUUGUUAGAGAAGAACAAGGACGUUAGUAACUGAACGUCCCCUGACGGUAUCUAACCAGAAAGCCACGGCUAACUACGUG